GGCAUGGCUUCAUCUUCAGCUCCUGAACAUCCAUAAUGAAGCAAGAAAAUUAAUAGAUAACCAAGCGCCAAGCGUUGGCAGAUUCCAUGUGAAAGGAAGGAGCACAAAAGUCCAGCUAAUAGGGUGCGCCGUUUAAAAUACACAGGGGAAUGUUUGGCAAGGGAAAAGGUAAUGAAGCAUAAGAUGGAACUCCACUAGAUCAUAGCCAAAUAAACACUCAUCAAAAUUACUAAUUAAUUGAGUUGUGCAUCUUUGUGCGAAAGGACAGAGCACAGGCAUUUGGAUCAUGUGGUGUGGAAUUGUCUGUCAAGAGACAGGUCAGGGAGCACCGGAUGUAAUUUCAGCAGAUCACAGCCACACAAACAUUCAUAUACACAGAUAAAGAAAUAAAAUGGAACUAACCUCAAUAAGUAUGUUGAGAAUAU
rnacentral:misc_RNA from 1 species